UGAAAAAAACAAACAAAAACAGGACCAGGGUUGUGGCUCAGUGUCAGAGCACCUGCCCAGCAUGUGUGCCCUGAGUGUGAUCCCCAGGGCCACAGGAAAAAGUACAAAGUAAAAGUCCAGGAUCUGGGUUAUUUGUAGUGUAGGGAAAAACAGUACCCCCCUUCUGUCUCGGGUCCAGGCCUCUGUGCUGACGACUACAGGGACACCCUGGUCAGGGUGACCUGGGGAGCUCCAGAGGCAGUGAAUCCAGCCUGGGACGAGCUCUUCUGAGGAGAAGGAGAGGAAUGAAGGGUUCUGAGCUGAGCGCAGAGGGAAGAGGUGUGACUUCCGGGACCCUGCCAGCUGCCCACAGGCCCAGCAAGGGGACUCUGCCUUUGCUGGAGCUGGGGACAAACCCAGCGCCCCAGGCAGGCUUUGGUAUUGCUCUUCCUCCAAGCUGUGGGCCAGAGGUCAAGUGCAAACUUUCACGAAUGACAUCCUCUAGCUCUCUAUGGGAAGGGCCUGUUGAAAACCUCCAGUACAUUUAAUAUAAAUACCUCAGGGGCCAAAAGGUGCUAAACUGAGGGGAGGGAGCCAUGUGACUGGGCAUUUCAAAUGGACAGAAGUUGUGCUUUGAUGCAGGAAGUUCUCGUAUGUGUGCUUGAGGAAUAAACUCCAUGUUAAAAUCAUGCAUUGCUUUAUUUGGGAAGGCCGUGCGAGACAGUUUUAGUCUACUCGCGCCAGCUUCUCUCAGCGUACCGCAGGUCCGCGCUUCGAGUUGUCUCGGGCAGUGGAAACUGAAGGGCUGCAGCUGGCAUCUGUCUUGCUUUGAACUACCGGAGACCUCGUGCCUUCGCCCACGUUCUGACUAGCCGAGGACCUCGAGUGUCCCCCGCAGGGCAGCCGGUCGGUGAGCGGCCCUUCCGCGCUCCGCCUCCUGCGCCGCGUUGCCGCGAGGGUUCCUUCAGCCUCGUUUUCUCCUGAGACUGCGCACUGUUGCACCUCAGAAGCAAAGUGCCCGCUGCCCACCCGGAAGGCACCCACCUCCGCCUUCCGCCAGGCCCGGGCCUGGCGCGGCCGGACUCAGGAUUCAGCCAGAAGCGCCGCUGGGGCCUGGGCGUUCCAAUGGAAAUGGUGCCUCCUUCGCCCCAGGGCAGCUGGCGGGCCGGAAGUGAGGUGUCCAGCCUUCAUCUCCAGCACUGACAGCACCUUCAGAAAGAAAGAAAGA